rnacentral:rRNA from 1 species
CCUACGGGUGGCAGCAGUGAGGAAUAUUGGUCAAUGGGCGUAAGCCUGAACCAGCCAAGUCGCGUGAGGGAUGACGGUUCUAUGGAUUGUAAACCUCUUUUAUAAAGGAAUAAAGUGCGGCACGUGUCCCGUUUUGUAUGUACUUUAUGAAUAAGGAUCGGCUAACUCCGUGCCAGCAGCCGCGGUAAUACGGAGGAUCCGAGCGUUAUCCGGAUUUAUUGGGUUUAAAGGGUGCGUAGGAGGCUUGUUAAGUCAGCGGUGAAAGUUUGUGGCUCAACCAUAGAAUUGCAGUUGAUACUGGCAGUCUUGAGUAUGUUUGAGGCAGGCGGAAUGCGUGGUGUAGCGGUGAAAUGCUUAGAUAUCACGCAGAACCCCGAUUGCGAAGGCAGCUUACCAAGCCAUGACUGACGCUGAUGCACGAAAGCGUGGGGAUCAAACAGGAUUAGAAACCCUAGUAGUC